UAUGUGAUCGUCUCUCGCAUAUCAAUAAGCGGAGGAAAAGAAACUAACAAGGAUUCCCCUAGUAACGGCGAGUGAAGCGGGAAGAGCUCAAAUUUGAAAUCUUAAAGGGUUUCCCUUUACGAAUUGUAGUUUAAAGAAGUGUUUUCUGUUGAGGUUUUGGUAAAAGUUCUUUGGAAUAGGACAUCAUAGAGGGUGAGAAUCCCGUAUUUGACCUUUACUUUCAACUUUGUGAUACACUUUCAAAGAGUCGGAUUGUUUGGGAAUGCAGUCCAAAAUGGGUGGUAAAUUUCAUCUAAAGCUAAAUAUUGGCGAGAGACCGAUAGCGAACAAGUACCGUGAGGGAAAGAUGAAAAGAACUUUGAAAAGAGAGUUAAACAGUACGUGAAAUUGUCAAAAGGGAAGCGUUUGACACCAGUGUUGUUUUUCUGAAAAUCAAUUAAAGAACUGUUUAUGCUAAGUUGUUUAGACUUUAUCAGCUAAUCUGUUUAGUUUUGAGCUUUUCUUUAAUGCACUUUUCAGUUAACAAGUCAACAUCAAUUUCUUUUGCUGUAAAAAAGCUUGAGGAAGGUGGCUUGAGAUUCGUCUUAAGUGUUUAUAGCCUCUUGCCUAUGCAGUCGGAGAGAUUGAGGUCUGCAGCGUAGAUCCUUCGGGGCUAAAUGCAUUUGUGCUAAGUUAUAGCAUUUUAUAGACAACUUGUUGACUAUGAUUUGUCUUGUAGCUUACUCGCUUAUGUUAUUUUACCUACGCUUAGGAUGUUGAUAUGCAUGACUGAUAU
rnacentral:rRNA from 1 species